AUUGAUCAGUUGGUGACUUGACCUGUUGGUGACUAUUGGUUCCCGUUGGUGACUUGGUUCAGAGAUAUGGGUCUCAGAUGACUUUGGGUUUCAGAUGAAUUUGUGGUCCCGAGUUCAAGUCGAAGCUUAGAUCCUGUGCUCCGAGAUACACAGCCAACCAGUCUUGUCUGCAUCAUUUGCAUCAUAGCAUGUUUAUUUUCAAAAAAAAAAAUACGCAAUAAAAAAUUGAAAAAUCA
rnacentral:lncRNA from 1 species